rnacentral:rRNA from 1 species
AACCAAAGGGGGCGAGCGUAAGCAGCUCUCACCGAAGGAGGAGCCUGCGUCCGAUUAGCUAGUUGGUGGGGUAAUGGCCUACCAAGGCGACGAUCGGUAGCCGGCCUGAGAGGGCGAUCGGCCACACUGGAACUGAGACACGGUCCAGACUCCUACGGGAGGCAGCAGUGGGGAAUAUUGCGCAAUGGGCGAAAGCCUGACGCAGCGACGCCGCGUGGGUGAUGAAGGCCUUCGGGUCGUAAAGCCCUGUCUGGUGGAACGAAACGCCUGGCGGCCAAUACCCGCUGGGUUUGACGGUACCACCGAAGGAAGCCCCGGCUAACUACGUGCCAGCAGCCGCGGUAAGACGUAGGGGGCGAGCGUUGUUCGGAUUUACUGGGCGUAAAGCGCGCGUAGGCGGCCAGAUAAGUCGGGUGUGAAAGCCCUCGGCUCAACCGAGGUUCCGCAUCCGAUACUGCUUGGCUGGAGUCUAGGAGAGGAGAGCGGAAUUCCAGUGUAGCGGUGAAAUGCGUAGAUAUUGGGAGGAACACCCGUGGCGAAGGCGGCUCUCUGGACUAGUACUGACGCUGAGGCGCGAAAGCUAGGGGAGCGAACGGGGUUAGAUACCCCGGUAGUCUUAGCCGUAAACGAUGGGCACUAGGUGUGGGAGGUAUUGACCCCUUCCGCGCCGAAGCUAACGCAUUAAGUGCCCCGCCUGGGGAGUACGGCCGCAAGGCUAAAACUCAAAGGAAUUGACGGGGGCCCGCACAAGCGGUGGAGCAUGUGGUUCAAUUCGACGCAACGCGAAGAACCUUACCAGGGCUUGACAUCCCACGAACCUGCCUGAAAGGGCGGGGUGCCCGCAAGGGAGCGCGGAGA